rnacentral:lncRNA from 1 species
ACUCAUUCUGUUCCGCCAUUGACGCUUGAAAGCACCACAGGUUUGUAGAGCUAUGGGAGUAGCUGCAUGGUUUUUGUUUUCUAACCAGGACUCCAAAGGGUUAUAUCUGGUAUACUGUAAUUUGGACCAGUUUCUUCAUCUGGUUUCCCAAAGCAUAAACAAGAAGAAGCUGCAAAUGAAGAAGGAUAAAGAUAAAGAAAUGCUGGAAGUAAACUUGGAUCUUAGUCUAGACUUAGACAAUGGGAAAGAAAGAAACUCUCUUAAAAGAGUGAACCUUAAGAACCUAGUAACCUGGGAAAUCUUGAAGAGCCCCUGAAGUUGCUGUGUUGUACAAAAGAAGAUGUUCUGAAUGCUAUUUCUGAAACUUCAAAUAAAGUGUAAACUCUGCUCAGUAUAAAGUGUAAACUCUGCUCAGUAUAGUUAGAUUAAGAAAGCAAUGUAACAUGCAUUUAGAACACUUUAAAAAGUGAUCAGUAUUGGGAGGCCGAGGCAGGUGGAUCACAAGGUCAAGAAAUUGAGACCACCCUGGCCAAUAUGGUGAAACCCCGUCUCUACUAAAAAUACAAAAAUUAGCUGGGCAUGGUGAUGCGCACCUGUAGUCCCAGCUACUUGGGAGGCUGAGGCAGAAGAAUCGCUUGAACCUGGGAGGCGGAGGUUGCAAUGAGCCGACAUCACGCCACUGCACUCCAGCCUGGGCGACAGAGAGAGACUCACUCCAUGUCAAAAAAAAAAAAAAAAAGGGAUCAAUAAAAAGACUAGCAUUUUGCAAACUGGAGCUCUUAUGGGUUCUUUUCACUUCUUAGGAAAAAUAUUUCAUUUCUUUUUCCUAGAAAAAGCCAAAUAAAUGAAACAUCAUUCUACAGUUUGAGACACAAUGCUUAUAAUAUAAACAGAAGUAAAAUGUGACUCAGGACUUUCCUAAACUUACUUUACAUCCAUCAUUUGCCUAGCACUUCAAGUAUGCUUUCACUUUUUAUCUCCUUAAAUCCCCAUAAUGUUCUUCCCAGUCCAAAUCAGAUGGCUUUUUUCUGAACUUCUUGGAGCACUGUAAAUAUGGUCACAUGUAUUGUCAUUGUCGACUUACUGUCUGUUUCCACUAGCCAUGUGCUCCUUGAAGGCAGGGCCUACGGUUCUCUUUGUCUCUCUUGUCCUCAGGAUAGUGUUUGGAGCAUGGUAGACACUCAAUAUUUGCUGAACAGAUUAAAUAGAAGUAUAGGUCAUGAUCUCUCUGCUAAGGAGUUCACAGCUUUUCUGGGGAAGGUAGAUAAGACAUAUACAAUAGACAUAACAUCCUAAGAAAGAUGAUUUUCCACUCAAAUAUAUGGUCCAGACAAUCAAUGUCAGUGGAAACAGAGCAGAGAGCAAUCAAUAUUGGCUUAAGUAUUCAGUAACGCUUCAUAUACAGCCUUGGAGGAUCUUGGUAUUGAUGCUACUUCUGGCUGCUCAAGGUAACUCAUCUUCACUAUAUAAAUGUAAUUUAUAGAUUCUGUAAAUUAAAUACAAGAGUUACACAAUUAACUGAUAAGUUAAGAACUGUCCUAAAAUAUAUUUACUUACACACACACAUUCUAAAUCUGAAUUAUCCAGAUUAUGUUUACAGUGACAAAAAUCAGUAGAUAAUCAUAUAGAAUCAUAUAAUUUAGCCCUUUUAUGACUUUUUGAGAUAUGUUCCCUUAUUUGAUAGAUUAACCUAUUUUUUUCUGAAGAAAUAAACAGAUACAGAACACCUGAGUAACAUUAAAAGAAGGAACAAAACAAUAAAAUCAAACAAAGAUAUUGGAUUCUUAUCUCAUAACCUGUACCACAGUAGUCCCAGAUGUAUCAAAGACUUAAAAGUAAAAAAAAAAAAAAAAAAAACAACCCAUAAAGAUUCUCAAACUAAAGAUGGGCAGUGAAGUAAUUUAUAAUUUCAUCUUACAGAUGCAAUAGAAGACAAAUUUUUAAAAAGUUAUUAUGAAAAAUAAAAACACCCUUAACAAAAGUCAAGACACAAGACAAACUGGCAAAAGUAUUUACAGCUUAUAUCAAAGAAAAAUGACAAUUUUCACAUACACAUAAGAAAAGGAUCAUCAAUCCAACAGAAAAGUGGGUAGACUGUGAAUACCUACUUCUUAGAAAAAUAAAGUGCUAAUAGUGCUAAAGUGCUAAAUGAUGAACAUAUGAAAUGUUCAUCAGCCUCAUAUAUUAACAAAAGAAAUGUAAAUUGAAACUAUACUGAGCUAUCAUUUUGACCUAUCAGCUCGAGGGAACAUCACAAAAUUUGAUAAUACAGUUUGUUGGCAAGGUUCAAAGUCUUACUCUUUCUUAUAUUGGAAACGGGUAGGACCCUAUGUGAAGCAAUAGCAAAUCUGCCAAAAUUUUACACAGUUUGACCCAGUCAUGUUAUGAGCUGAAUUUUCAACAUAUUAAAGUUCAUAUGUUGAAGCUCUAAUCCCCAAUGUGAUAUUAUUAGGAGGUGAGACAUUUGGGAGGUAAAUCAGGUUUCGAUGAGGUCAUGAAGAUGAAGCCCCAUAAGGGGGUCAACAUCCUUGAAAAAGAAGAGAUACCACAGCUCUCUCUCUAAACAUGCACAAAGAAGAGGUCACAUGAUCACGCGGCUAGGUGGCAACUAUCUGCAAGCUAAGAAGAGGACCCUCACUAAGAAUUGAAUCUGUUGGCAUCUUGAUCUAGGACUUUCCUGCUCUAGAACUGUGAGAAAUAAAUGUCUAUUGUUUAAGCCACUCAGCAAUGGUAUUUUCUUAGAGGAGCCCAAGAUACAUUUCUAGGAAGUUAUCCUCUUGAUAUACUAACAUACAAGUAAAAUGACAUUCAUAUAAGCAUUUUCCUUGAAAUAUGAUAGACAAUAUUAGAAAUAAUUGAAGGCAGUUAAAUAAAUUAGUUCACAUCCAUUUGAUGGAAUUCUGUAUACUAUGAAAAUGAGUAAGGCAGUAUUGUAUAAACUGCUAAGGCAUAAUAUACAGUGUGUAUGAUAUGAUAACAUUUAUGAAAAAAACAAAAACUUACAUCCAUAGUGAUAAUGCAUACAACAUCUCUGAAGGAUAUAAAAAAUGCAAGGAUAGUAGUUGACUCUGGAGUAAGAAAUUGGUUGUCAGGGGGCCAGGAACGGGAUGGAAGAAUUCUCACUGUUAACCACCAUAUAUCUUUUGAUUUUGUAUUAUAUGCAUGUAUAUCCAGCUCAAAAGAAAAGGAACAAAACCAGUGUAUGUUGGAAUGCAUAUAGUUUUGUUAACUAAAAACUGAGCUUCAAUUCAAAACAAUAUGUUUCUCUUGACUGAGGGAUUUACUCUAAGCAAACCUCUUAGUGAGUAGCCAGAAACUUUUUGUAUCACAGACAGAAACCAUUGAAUUAGGACCUCAGCUCUUUGGGUCCAGGCUUUCAAUACAGGUUACUAAAAUAGAUAAAAUAGAACUUACAAACCAAAUCAGAGUUUGCCUGGAUUCAUUCAAUCAUUCUGCACAACACAUAGCCCUACACCCUCUCUCUUCAUCUCAUUUUAAGGGCCCUUUUCUCUUUCUUGUUCAGUGUGCUUAUUUGUGCUUGUUUUGUUUUUGGCCUGAAGUACAAACAAACAAUAUAGAGGGAGGGACAAUGGUGUAGGCCAAGAAAUGCAGCCCAGUGGAAUGUUUCUUAAGAAUUAUAUAGAGGAGAGAUGGAGCAAUGCCUAGGGGCCUCAGAAAUACACAGACAGACACACACGCAUACACACACACAGAAAUACACACAUACACACACACAGACACAAAUGCAUACACACACAUUCUUUAUCAUAUGCCAGCAUUAUUAAUUCAUAUUAACAAAUGUAACAUUUUGUUAUUUCAUAAAUUAAUAUGUCAAUAUUUGGAAGGUUUUCAUAACUAGUGAACUAAAACUUUCCAAAUGACAAUGCAUAGCAUUACACAGAUAACAUAUGCAAAGGCCCAUUCCAAGUGCAUGAAAACAACACUUUUUCUUGCAUUAUAAUUUUUGAUUGACAGACCAUUGUACCUAUUUUGGAGAUACAGUGUGAUAUUUUGAUACAUGUAUACAAUGUGUAAUAAUCAAUAUCAAGGCCUGAUACUAAUGCCCAGGUGGCAGAGGCAAGUCUAUCUCAAAGACACUGAUGAAAGAUUUUUGGAAACUUUUACUGUCUGCCUCUGUGGAUGGAGAUUUCCAGGCAAAAUAGUUAAGAAAUAGUUUCUUGGGAAGAAACCACAAUACUUUGUCGGUGUAGGCUCUCACUCUACUACAUGGAUGUGCCUUAAAAUUGGCAAGCAGCUAGGAUCUUUUCUGUAGGUAUCCUCCAGUGUCAGGGAAGCGUGGGAUGCCAUUGCUGCCAGUGCACACAAAAGCCUCAGGAUCUGACUAAGGAAGGAUCUUGAAUGAAUAAGGACCUUGGUGACUAUGGAUGGUGGAACCCAUACUCAUUCGGAAUUGGAAGGCUAAGAGAAUCAUGUCGGGCUUUUUGUUUUUGCUUUAUAGAGACCAGGUGAUCAUGCCAUGUGCAUAAUAGGUAAUGAUUAUACAUACAUGAACAGAGUUUUCUUGUAGGUUUUGAAAUCAAAAGACCUGUGUGUUGAUAUUGACCAUGUGGGUUGGUAAGCUAAGUCUCAGUUUCAUUAUUACUAAAAUGAAGAUACCGAUGGCUUUCUCACAGGUUAAGACUUUCCAUGAGGACAGAAAAUGAUGUGAAAACAUAAAAGAAAAACUAGCUGUUAGCAGCAAUUAUAAAAUUAUAAGCUCCAGACAAUGUAAACCUAAACAUUUUGACAUAAUUACUUUAUUCAUCAUAACUUGGUAAGUUGGUAAGCAGUUACACAAAUGGCAUUUUUUUUUUUUUACCACACCAAACAUACAAACCCAGGCAUUCCUAAGAGACAUCUAAACCAUAUACAAUUAAGACCAGCUGGGCAAGAGAAAAAGUAUAUGUGGGCCAGGCGCAGUAGCUCACGCCUGUAAUCCCAGCCCUUUGGGAGGCCGAGGCAGGUGGAUCAUGAGUUCAGGAAAUCAAGACCAUCCUGGCUAACAUGGUGAAACCCCGUCUCUUCUAAAAAUACAAAAAAUUAGCCGGGUGUGGUGGCACAUACCUGUAGUCCCAGCUACUCGGAAGGCUGAGGCAGGAGAAUGGCGUGAACCCGGGAGGCAGAGCUUACAGUGAGCCGAGAUUGCGCCACUGCACUCCAGCCUGGGCGACAGAGCGAGACUCUGUCUCAAAAAAAAAAAAAAAAAAAAAAGUAUAUGUGGCUAACAAGCACUUGCUUCAAGCUCCCACCAAAGACCAGAAUCCAAGAGUAAGUGAGAAUGUGUGUGCUGAUUUCUCCCUCCUCUGACCACAGGUACCUGAAAAUGGGGGAUUCUGAGAGCCUCAGAAAGUCUGACAGCAAAGGCUUGGCUUUGGGGUUCAGACACACUUUAGCUUGAGAACUAGUUUUAACACUUAGCAUUUGUGUGAACUUGAGUUAAUUACCCAUAAUUUCUCCACUUAACAAAAUUGUGGUAAAACAGGUGAAGCAGUAAGGACGCCAUCUUCCAUCCUCUGCAUCCAGGCCAAGGAAGACACACUGAGUUAAAAAAUCACGUAUGGCUGAGGGCAGAGCCAUCCUUAAAGAAGCUGUCCUCUCCAGAGAAGGUAGUGAGACAUUUCUAAGUGGGGCAGCGAUCAGCUCCUCUUUUCAACAUAAAAACGUAAAGAGGCUCCUGGAGGAGCCUUUCUCCUCUUUCUUUGGUAAGUGUGAAAAAAUCAGCAGAUUAGGUCUUUCCCUUCCACAACCCUUUCAUCCUCGCCACCCUGGCCUUGACCAAUUAAAGACUCAUUGGAGCUCCUAAGCACCUCUCCAUCCCAGUCCCACCCUUGUUCCUAAUGGUAAAAUAGAAGAUACCAGGAAUAAUCUAUUUUCAUUAUGAAUCAAUUUAAAGAGCUUACUUUCAUGAUUCUUCAUAGAGAUAGAAAAUUUAUUAAGAGUAAAGUAGGGGUAUAAGAGGAGUACUUUGAGGGCUGGAUUCCUGAGACAGGGAAAGAGGCCAUGGCAGAGAACUUGGACAGCUAAGAGUGGGUUGAAGCACUUGAUGUCUGAGCACUGAAGGGAAGGUCAGAAAAGCAGAAUGAAAGGAAGCAAGGAAGACAUAAGUGUGGGGCCAAAGGAAAAAAAAGGUACAAAUCCUUUUUGUAAACUGAAAAUAAGGAGAGAAUCAGAGGAUAGUAGAGCUGGAAGAAAUUUAGAAUAUUAUCACUUCCAGUACCUUCAGAAACAAACACCUUUAAGGGUCAGGCAGGGAGUGUUAAUCAGGGAAGUUGGCUGGUUGUGAUACAAUAGAUAUUGGAGAAGACCGUGGAGAACUAGAGCAAGCAUUUUGUUCCUAAAAACAAUAUAGAGCGUUUUUUGUUUUGUUUUGUUUUUUUAAUACUGUGCUGGCCAAAGAACAUAACCAUGUGAGGAAUUGUCCAAUCCCUGUAAUGUUACAGAUGGGACUGCCAAGCAUUAAAAUAUCUAAGGAAGUAUUUUAUGAAGUGGCUUUGGACAGAGAUAACUCUACUGAGGCUCUUUUCUCCACAUACUUGAAAGCUGGGACCAUGGAUCUGAAGGAUCUCACAAGAAGGAGGUCACUCCAGGAAAUCCUCAAGUCCUGGGGAACUCCAGGAUUUUUCCAGUUCCCCCUCAGGGAAGAACUCAUUUGAUUCUCCAAGGCAACCCAGGAGCAAAUCUAGGAUAGGGCUAGAGAAUCCUCAAGGGAAAAUUUAAAUAAUUUAGACUGACUCCAUAUUCUAUAAGUCAGAAAGGGGCACUGAAGAUAUUGAAAGGGAAUGGUUCACAGGUUUAUCCCAUGAAAACUCUAUCACAUCUUCUGAAUGUCCUGGGAUCACAGCAUGAUGAUGAUAAGCUGUGGGGAUAAGCUUAAAGGGGCAACUGUGAAGGCGCAAGAUCCGGAACAAAAGCUGGCAAAACAGGUUUACUUAGGGCAUGCAUGCAGAGGCUGCAUCUUUUGGGCCACAUAAGUCAUAUUAUCAUCAAUAUUAUGGAUUUGAAGCAUCUAUGGUUUUAAUGUCAAACAUUAAUUAUCCAUCCUUGACUAGUUCAAAGAGAGAGACUUUGGAUCUGGGUUUGAAUUUCAGUUCUGUUACUUAUUAGCUAGCUGACACAAGGAAAAGUCACUUCAUUCUUCAGUGGCAUACUUCUCUUGCCUGUAAAAUAGAGAUAAUAAAACUUAUCCAGGAGGGUUGUGAUGCUAAGAGGUAACGUGUAGAUGCAAAGAGCCCAACAGAGAAUAAUUACUCAAUGAAUAAAAGCUAUUAUUAUCUCUUAUCAUCAUUGUUAUUGUUAUCAUAAUAGUAGUUACAAACUAGCAUCAUCACACAGCAAGCCCCCGUUGCUUUAUUCUCACAUACACAGAAAGCCCCCAUUGCUUUCUUCUCACGUCCUCAAUGUUGUAACUUCCAAACAUGCAGGAUCUGCGUGCUCUAUAAGAGAGCUCCAAUAAAUGCACAGCUCACUCAACUUGUGUCCUGGUUUACAGAAGUAAGUAACAGGAGAAGCAGGGCUUUCAUAGCCCUUCCACACUUUUUUACUCAAGUGCUUUGGUAUACAAUUAGUAAGCAGUGUUUCCAGCAGCUUCUGAUUUGCAGUAAGUAAUUGCAGUCUAGUGCUCUUUCUUCUGUUGCCACUUGCUAAACACCCACUUAAAAGUAUCAGAUCACAAAACUCCCUACAAAUUGAAAUUUAUGUUUCCUUUUGGGUUAUUUAGGACUAAUCCAACAAAGCCAAUGAGGAAACAUAAUGCUAAUUUAUACUUUUAGUUUCAUAGCACUACCUUGGUUAUUUUUAUACUUAAUUGAAAGGGGAUAUUUCCUCUUAUAUUUUUGUAAAUGUGGAUUUUGGGGGGAGUUCUAGACAAUGAAUUUACACUAGCAAAUGCUAGGCAAAGUAAUGAGAAGCAAAAUUAACUUACUGAAGCAUUUUAACGAGUAAAAAAAUGGUUAUCUAUUGCCUAAAUAAGUCAAGGUUUUUCUUUCUGAAGGUAUCUUCAUUUCAUUGGCUGUGAUUUUGUUUAAUUUGAGAGAGAAGGCAAGAGUGUUAUCAUUCUCCAGUUGGAAACUAGCAUGGAUGGUAUUCCUGCUCCUACUCUUCAGAAUUUUAGUAUAAACAAAAUAAGCUGAUCCAAACACACAUUAACUGAUUGGUGGAUAAACAAACUGUGGUAUAUCCACACAACUGAAUAUUAUUUAGCAGUAAAAAGAAAUGAAAUAUUCAUACAUGCUACACCAUGAAUGUACCUUGAAAACAUUAAGUGAAAGAAAAGGCACAAAGGGCCACAUAUUACAUGAUUCCAUUUAUACCAAAUGUCCAGAAUAGGCAAAUACAUAGAGAUAAAAAAUGGAUAGAAGGUUACCUAGGAAAGGGGUGGUGGUAGGGGAUGGAGAGUACUGCUUAUGGACAAGGAGGCUUCUUUUUUAGAAUAAUAAAAAUAUUUCGGAAUCCCAUAGUGAUAAUGGUUGUUUAGCUCUGUGGAUAUCCUAAAACCCACUGAAUUUUAUACUUUUUAAAAUUUUUUUUAUUUUUGAGAUGGAGCCUUGCUCUGUCACCCAGCCCAGGCUGGAGUGCAGUGGCACGAUCUUGGCUCACUGCAACCUCUGUCUCCUGUGUUCAAGCUAUUCUCCUGCCUCAGCCUCCCGAGUAGCUGGGAUUGCAGGCAUGCACUACUACAUCCAGCUAAUUUUUGUAAUUUUAGUAGAGACAGGGUUUCAUCAUGUUGCCCAGGCUGGUCUCGAACUCCUGACCUAGGGCGAUCUGCCCACCUCAGCCUCCCAAAGUGGGGAUUACAGACGUGAGCCACCAUGCCUGGCUGACUUUCAUACUUUAUUAUUUUUAUUUUAUUAUUAUUAUACUUUAAGU